rnacentral:lncRNA from 1 species
AAAAAUGGAAUUAAUUCAAAGGCACGACAAAUACAUCAGUCACAUUUCAGCAUACCUCAAUAUCCAGUCAUCAACAUACACUCAUACUCACAACAUACAUACAGUCAUCAAAAUUGAAAUAAUAGUUGAAUUAAAAUAGAAACAAAAAUCAAAUUGGAAAGGAAUAAACGCGCAAGCAAGCCCUUAUACUAUCCAUCACCAAGUUAUCAACAUCAUUCAUCAUCCAACUAACACAAAUUCUAACUGAUUUUCACUCUCUAAU